UGGCAACUCUCCGGCAACAAAGUAACUACGAAAGACACAAAAAAUAACAUGUUUCAAUUAAUUGGAGACGAAAAAAGCCAUAACAAUCGCUUUAGCAUCUUCUUUUUGGCGCUAUUUUUUAUGCUGACUGUGCUCUUCAUCCACUGUUACCUCACAGUUCGUACCUACCAGCGCAGAAGGAGAGGCGCCCUCGCCCUGUAUAGGGGCAGACCAAUACGACCACUGUGAACCUUCGCCUGAGCUUUCUUUUUGAUAUUUUGACCUAACUCUUUUUUGACUUUUUGAAAAUCAUGAAGUGGUUUCAAGGCUUUUUUGAGAAAAUCAGAAAAAACAACCAAUUUCGCUUGAAAUGCUUUCUCUAUUAUCUUUUU